rnacentral:rRNA from 1 species
UACGUAGGGGGCAAGCGUUGUCCGGAUUUAUUGGGCGUAAAGAGCGUGUAGGCGGCCAGGUAGGUCUGCUGUGAAAACUCGAGGCUCAACCUCGAGACGUCGGUUGAAACCGUAAGGCUAGAGUCCGGAAGAGGAGAGUGGAAUUCCCGGUGUAGCGGUGAAAUGCGUAGAGAUCGGAAAGAACACCAACGGCGAAAGCACUCUGCUGGGCCGACACUGACACUGAGAGACGAAAGCUAGGGGAGCGAAUGGG